AUUGAACGCUGGCGGCAUGCCUUACACAUGCAAGUCGAACGGUAACAGGUCUUCGGAUGCUGACGAGUGGCGAACGGGUGAGUAAUACAUCGGAACGUGCCCAGACGUGGGGGAUAACGAGGCGAAAGCUUUGCUAAUACCGCAUACGAUCUAAGGAUGAAAGCAGGGGACCGCAAGGCCUUGCGCGGUUUGAGCGGCCGAUGGCAGAUUAGGUAGUUGGUGGGAUAAAAGCUUACCAAGCCGACGAUCUGUAGCUGGUCUGAGAGGACGACCAGCCACACUGGGACUGAGACACGGCCCAGACUCCUACGGGAGGCAGCAGUGGGGAAUUUUGGACAAUGGGCGAAAGCCUGAUCCAGCAAUGCCGCGUGCAGGAUGAAGGCCUUCGGGUUGUAAACUGCUUUUGUACGGAACGAAAAGGCUCUGGCUAAUACCUGGGGCACAUGACGGUACCGUAAGAAUAAGCACCGGCUAACUACGUG
rnacentral:rRNA from 1 species